UACGGGGGGGGUAAGCGUUGUUCGGAAUUACUGGGCGUAAAGGGUCUGUAGGUGGCUUGCUAAGUCAGACGUGAAAUCCCUCAGCUUAACUGGGGAACUGCGUCUGAGACUGGCGAGCUUGAGUGCAGGAGAGGGACGCGGAAUUCCAGGUGUAGCGGUGAAAUGCGUAGAUAUCUGGAGGAACACCGGUGGCGAAGGCGGCGUUCUGGACUGCAACUGACACUGAGAGACGAAAGCCAGGGGAGCAAACGGG
rnacentral:rRNA from 1 species